GAAGGAUGAGAAGCUUCGACUAAGGUUCGAUUCGAGCGUCAGCGAGAAAGCGUUGCCGCAGGCAACGACCCGAAGGGCGAAGCGCGCAGCGCUGAGUCAUCCUUC
rnacentral:sRNA from 1 species